rnacentral:tRNA from 1 species
AGUUGAUUAGCUUAUUAAGCAUUUAUUUUGAAAGUAAAAGGAAAAGAGUUGACCUCUAUCAACUU